CGGCCUCCCAGGCUUCAAAUCCAGUGGGAAUCGACCA
rnacentral:tRNA from 1 species